rnacentral:rRNA from 1 species
AGUGGGGAAUUUUGGACAAUGGGCGAAAGCCUGAUCCAGCAAUGCCGCGUGCAGGAUGAAGGCCUUCGGGUUGUAAACUGCUUUUGUACGGAACGAAAAGCUUUGGGUUAAUACCCUGGAGUCAUGACGGUACCGUAAGAAUAAGCACCGGCUAACUACGUGCCAGCAGCCGCGGUAAUACGUAGGGUGCAAGCGUUAAUCGGAAUUACUGGGCGUAAAGCGUGCGCAGGCGGUUUUGUAAGACAGAGGUGAAAUCCCCGGGCUCAACCUGGGAACUGCCUUUGUGACUGCAAGGCUAGAGUACGGCAGAGGGGGGUGGAAUUCCGCGUGUAGCAGUGAAAUGCGUAGAUAUGCGGAGGAACACCGAUGGCGAAGGCAACCCCCUGGGCCUGUACUGACGCUCAUGCACGAAAGCGUGGGGAGCAAACAGGAUUAGAUACCCUGGUAGUCCACGCCCU